GACGAACGCUGGCGGCGUGCUUAACACAUGCAAGUCGAACGGCAAGGCCCUGCUUUUUUGGGGUUCCCGAGUGGCGAACGGGUGAGUAACACGUGAAUAACCUGCCCUUGACUUUGGGAUAACUUCAGGAAAGUGGGGCUAAUACCGGAUAGGAGCUCCUGCUCCAUUGUGGGGGUUGGAAAGUCUCUGCGGUUGGGGAUGGAUUAGCGGCUUAUGGGCUUGUUGGUGGGGUAGUGGCUUACCAAGGCUUUGACGGGUACGCGGCAUGGGAGGGUGGACGGCGACAUGGGUACUGCGAGAGGGCGCAGUCGGGAACGGGGGGCAGCAGGGGGGAAUAUGGCACAACGGGAGCAAGCCUGUGACGGAGACGCCGCGGGCGGGAAGACGGUCUGCGGGGAAAGAAACGCAUUAGCCUGAGACGAAGCGGUAGUGACGGUAAUGAGUAAAGAAGCACCGGCUAACUACGUG
rnacentral:rRNA from 1 species